CAGUCGCCGCGGGAAUACGAAGGGGGCUAGCGUUGCUCGGAAUGACUGGGCGUAAAGCGCACGUAGGCGGCUUGGUAAGUUAGAGGUGAAAGCCUGGAGCUCAACUCCAGAAUUGCCUUUGAGACUGCCGAGCUAGCAGGUGAGAGAGGUAAGUGGAAUUCCGAGUGUAGAGGUGAAAUUCGUAGAUAUUCGGAAGAACACCAGUGGCGAAGGCGGCUUACUGGCUCAUACUGGACGCUGAGGUGCGAAAGCGUGGGGAGCAAACAGGAUUAGAUACCCCAGUAGUCCCUGUCUCUUAUAC
rnacentral:rRNA from 1 species